UAGGGAAUCUUCGGCAAUGGACGAAAGUCCGACCGAGCAACGCCGCGUGAGUGAAGAAGGUUUUCGGAUCGUAAAACUCUGUUGGUAGAGAAGAACGUUGGUGAGAGUGGAAAGCUCAUCAAGUGACGGUAACUACCCAGAAAGGGACGGCUAACUACGUGCUAG
rnacentral:rRNA from 1 species